rnacentral:lncRNA from 1 species
CAACACUUAGUGAGUAUAGUAGUUGCUUUUCUUUAUAUUUCUCUUCAGUUCGAACCGUGACUAAUAUUUGCAUUUCUUUUGUAGGUACCCUUCCUCGGUGUGAACUGUCUUUCGAAGACUUCGACACCAUCUGCAUCAUCUAUCAGCUGCCUCAAAAGAAGAGGUCAUACCAUCGGCUGAUCCGAAAGAACAUUCACUUCGUUACACACGACUUGAUGGUAUCCCAAGGUAACUAGACCGAAGUCUUUACCCUUUAUUCUGAACUUUUAACACUUGUACUAAUUCGUCAUUCGUUCCUUGCAGACAAUUUUAAUAAGAAGAUGCUCGUGCGCACUGACUUUAAGACCAUCCAGAGGAUUAUGGCAAAGGCACGAGCACUGAAGGCCUCAUCCUCCUCCUACAAGAAGCAAAUGGAGGAUCUGGUGGAUGCCAGUAAGAAGCUUCAGCCUCCGACGGAGGAGGAGGUACCGGAGGACCCGGAGGUUGAUCUACAGAGAAAGGGCAAGAAGAGCGCCGCCCCUCCAAAACGCCCAACUGUGGCGAAGCCACCUCCCGUUCUGAAGAAGACCAUAAUUCCAACCAGGGUAGCCAUUCCGAAGAAGAGGCAUGUGCAUCUGAGGCUGCCACUGCCCCGACCACAACACCACUUGCCGCCGUGCCAAUCGCUCAAGUGUCGGGGCAGCAGAAGAGGAAAAGGGCCCGUCCCUCUAGGGAGGUCGACUUUCUAGGCACAAAAUUUGGAGGAGCCAGUGAGGAAAGUGUUGGAGGCCCUUUCUCCAGAAACAGCUAUAGUGGCGGUGGUCCACAACAAAUACUGGACCGAGGAGUGGAGGGACCACAUCACCUCCUGCACAGCUAAGACUUGGUGGCUGCCAAUAGCGCCUGCGUAGCUCGGGCCCUGAGCACAAGCAUCCAACUCGAGGGCCUGGUGAAGGAUCUGAACUCCAAGAGGGAGGACCUCGCCAAGCGCCUCAAGGAGUGAUGCAAUAUGGGGAUGCCGUGCGAGAGGCCCGGGCCAAGGCCUCGCAGGGGGAGGAGGGAAAGAAAGAGGCCGAGGCCCAGCUAACUGUCGUCAAAGCAGAAGUGGAGCGGCUGAAGAAGGAGUUAUACGAGGUGAAGUGCCAAGUGGCUGUUAUGUCUCGGUGAGUUGAUCACGCCAACGAGCACCACAAGCUCGCCACCGAAGCUCUAGAGGCCUCAAACAAAGAGAAGGUGGAGCUGAGGCAGAAGACAGAGGCUCAGUCUGAGAAGAUUGCCUCCUUGAAGAAGGAGUUGAAGUCUGUAGGGGAGGUGACAGUUCAGAACUUCAUCGACCAUUUCGAAGACCAUCCCCUGUAUGACGACUUCGCCAAUUUUUAGGCCUCUUGGAGUGCCCAAUGCUUAUUAGGUCGACUGAAAGAGGUCCAUUCCACUCUAGACAUCUCCUCUUUGAAGGCAGAGUUUGGGGGACCAACUAGAGGUCGGGCUGAUAGGCUUGUUGAAGAAGCUCCGGAGGCCCCGGAGGUGGCCAAUGCAGAAGCGGUCAAGGCAGAGGUCCCUCCACUAGAAUAGGGCCAUCUUUUGUAAUGGCUUCGGCCUUCUUGUACUUCAAUUCUAAUUAAAU